AUUCAUAGUACAGAGUGAUUUUUUGGCCUUGGUGGUCUGCCAUAUUUUGUAAUUAAGUUAAGUGGUCCACGGGCCGAAAUACUUUGAGAACCACUGUCUUAAGGCAUUCCAAAACCAUAGCAAGCUAGUGUGUAGCACGUUGGUGCAGUUGUCAGGGAAGGUGGUAGACAAGAAGAAUAGGGGAAAGGAUAGGAAUGGUCCCGUGACCUGUUAUAGGUGUGGCGAGGAGGACACAUGUCCCGGGCUCACAAUGAAAACGCGAAAGGCAUUUCGGAGAGAGUCCCGAACUUGACCCUUAGAGGAGGGACACGUGUCGGCAUAAAACUUGCAGACACAGACCAGAGGAAUGUGUUCGUACUCGCAAGCAAGAAAGAGAAAGGCAUAGGGGUCCCUGGAUGUCUGCUUGAGGUAGAGAAAGAAGAUUUGUUCGUCCCUGUUACAAGCAUUAAAGAAGACUUGGUCUGCUAACGUUGAGGAGGGAAAAGUGUGUCAAGCCUGUUCGAAGGGCUGGGCAGUCAGGUGUUGGCGAACGCAGAACCAACCACGAGUGGAACGCACACGCUAGAAAAGGAGUAAAUUACGGGAUGACGUCACAGCCAAAAGAAGUGACGGUGUCGUCUCACAGUACAGACAGUGUGUACGUCACACGGCGCGGUAUCUCCCGCAAACAGAAUGAAGAGAAUCUUGUGAGUUAUACAUUGCUACCUGGCCGUAUACAGACAACAUUCGGACUGCUGAGAUCGUCUUUACGUUCAGAAACACGUAUGGCGUAGUAAGAGGAUUGAAGAAAGAUGUUCUGUGCAAACUGCGGGUGUGCCCAAUCAAUCUGGGGGGUGACGGCGCCAGUAGUGUGGAACUGCUUAUUACACUGGGGGGCCUGAUACGCUACGACACAACGAAAACGGACAUUCUCGCAGGUGUCGGUCGACAGGGCGGCUCAUUGUGGCACUGUAAUUCUUCUUCUCACUUCUUAUCUACUGUUGUACAUUAAAAAAACAGCUACAGAAGAUAGAGUUUAUGCUCCUGCAACCAAAGUAAUAUCUUUAAUCCUUCACACACGUGCUUUGGCUCUAGCUAGGUUUUAAACCUCAAACAAUGAAACUGUUGUUGUGUGAAACACAAUGCUUUCUCAACCAGGAGCCUGUUGGAUGUAGCCUUGGUAUUUGACAUUCAAGACAGCACCGCAUCUUGGUGCCAACAAAGUCCGUGAGGACGCUUGGGUCAAAGGUGGAGCGAACUGUAGGCUACAUUUGAGACAAAGCUCUGUGACUAUUGUUUUCUACUGACCAGUGGUGUGUGUGUGCUUCAGUGCAUGCGAAUGUGCGUUCUGGUCAUUAUUCCAUUUAGCCCUAUUUUAAUUUUUUAAGGCUUUAAUGAGAUCACAUAUUCUGUAUUUUUCGAAUAAAAUCUUUUUUAACGUUUUUUUCUUUCACAUUGACUUUUUGUGUUUGAGACUGUUAGUCUAUAAAAUGUCAGAGUUGAAAAUACACUGUAUGUAGAUUUUAAAAAAUAAUAUUAUUGCUAUUACUAACGUUAUUGAUGUUGAGAAUUUUACUAGUAGCUAAUUCAAUCCUUUACUGAUCAAGUAAUCAAAAAAGUGAUUUAUUUACCAAAUUUCAGUAUGACAAUAAAUGUUUGUUAUCUUUGAAUAUUCUCGAGUGGAGAAGUUAGGAUGGUAAGAAAUUAAUUGACGUGGGAGCAAGUCUUGAUUAACAUUUCAUCAGUAAACAUAUACAACAAAACGUAUUACAACAGGAUCAUCAACCGAUUCUUGACUUUAUGAAGCAGUUCAUGAGUCAUUGGCCUCUCUAUAGCAUACUGUCAUUGGUCUUAGAAAGCAUGCUAAGUGUCACUGGAAUCUAUAAAGCAUGUGUUACUUUUGUUUAUAUGGAAUGAAAGACAUUACUUUUGCUGAACAUUAUUGUUUCAUUCUUUGUUGCAGAGAAUAAGAAAUUCUUAGAUACUGAUGUAAAUAUUUUAGUCAUCUAGAGUAAUUUGUCCUCUAGCAGGGAUAUGGUCUUUAUUUGCAACAAGAAAAACAUAUUGCAGUUAUCGUGGCAUCAAUUUCAAUAAAUCAAAAGCAUCAGGAAGCCAAAAAACAUUCGAUCCAAAAAGUUUACUUUUAUUAGGUCUAUGUGAAGCUAAUCGCUUUGUAAACAAUGAAAUGCUAGGAGAAAUGCUCGCUCCAGCCAGAGAAUCAAUCAUUACAACUAGCUGGAAUA